CCCCCCUCAGCCAAUCCUGGGUAAUACGUACGCCUGUAAGGGUGAAUUCACCCCGCUUGCCACAGGAAACCCAAAGCUACUGAUAGUCCGGUCGCUUAGUGUUUCAAUCUAUACAUAGCGGACAAAAGCACCAAACUUGGCAUAAAGAUAGCCAAGAGGAUGCUAAUUAAUACUGAGACCGGUGCCCACCGGUACCACUUGAGGAUUUUGUGUAAUAACGGAAUAAAAAUUUGAAAAAAGCGUCCAUCACGGGCUCCCUGUGGUGAAAUUUAAAAUAUCUUGUAUUUCCAAAACAUUCCAAGGCGAAAUAUCUGAUUGUUUUUUUUUAGGGGAAAUAUAACACUAUUUGUUAAUAUUUCAAGAUAAAACUGUCGUCGGCUGCAUUAAAAUGAUUUAUUUAAGAGAAAACGUUUCCAAGCUAGACCCAAUCCCCCUCACGGUUAUCCAAGAUGGCGGCUUAUAUUGGCACUGUAUAUGCUGUAAGUACAUCAAAAAAAUUGCGUAUUUUAGGUAAAAAAAGCUCAUUCUUUAUAUAUCAAGGACAUACAAUGUCUAUAUCCUACUAAAUAUGAAAUUUUGUCUUGAUUUUAAAUAUAUUUUUUCUAAAUCUGCGAUAAUCUCAAUUAUCUGGUAUUUUGACGUUGGCUAAAUAAAAAGAGGUAGAGAUGGAUUUAAUAAGAGGGGGCUUUGUAAGUGUCUGUCAACUAGACACCAAAGACCAAUAAGAUGCUUUAGAUAUGCCUCCUUAAUAAAAGUUAUUAGGUUGUGAUUUUUUUCUUAAGAAUAUUAGAGGGUUUGGAUGUUCUGCAGAAUAAACAUCUGUAGAAACUCUUUGUCGCGCAAAUAGCGCAAAAUGGCACAGGAAUUGUCACAAAUUUGCGGUAUUAAUGCUCGAAAGCAUUAAAAAAAAGCUGACCAGCAGAGGCAAUACGAAAAAAAACAGUGCUUAUUGCUCCCUCCGUGUGCAUCAUAGUGAUGAGGUUGAACGCAUCGCAUGCUUUUAACAGGAUAGCAACCAACCUCAAACGAAUCGCCGCACCAAUAGAGGACUAUUUUAUUAUCCUAAACAUGAUUAAUGAUGACCUCAGGGAUGGAAAGGGGCCGUGGAGCAUAAGAAAAGGAAAGGCCUCCUGGAAGCGAGAGAGAAUGAUAAAAAAAGUAUAGAGCUUUUGUCAGGCUUAUUAAAUAUAUUAACAAAAUAUAUAAGUGGAGACUGUUGAAAAUGGUACGUUCCUUUUUCUGAUGUCCGAGCUCCUCAAUGUACAUGAGACACGCUUGGGACAGAGUUUUAGAGGCUUUUCCUAAGGUGCUGAUCAGUGAUCGGCAGACCGUUAUUGUAAUAAAGGGGAGAAAUUUAUUCUGAAACAAACUGAAAGAGACUUUUCAGAAUGAUGCGCGUACGCUAGCGUGUGCCCAGGGUCCGCGGGGAUUUCUUUUCCAAACAAAGGAUUUUUCCUUUCUCAGGGAUGUUUUCUUCGAGGUGCCAAAGAAAAGACGGUGCUAUAAACAAGUGUUCAAAAACUCUAGUGUUGACGAUACUAGCGAGGACACGUUUAGCCCAAAACCUGACGUAAGCCAGAAUUAUUCUUUUAUUUUAACGAUCAGAAGGUUUUGAGCGCCAUACCUGUAGACGCCAGCCACCGCUGCCGAUCUAUAUUAGUUCGAUAUCCUUUUUUUUUUUUUACAAAAUAAAAACAUAAAUCAUGGAAUGUUAUUAGCUAGGGUUUUCGGCUUCAUACGACCGAGUGGUUGGAAGUCAAGGGCGUCUGCCGGCGCCCCCUAUUUGACCCAUAACUAGCAUGGGGUAGAGCGAGGCUCUCGCCUCGGAAACAAUUGUGAUACUUUGAUUUUAAAAUAACAUAGGGCCGUAACAAAAGGAUAAACAAAUGAUCCGAGUUGUCAUGGUAUAAUUUAUCAAUGCACAAUAGGCUAUGAAAAAUCUCCCUCAUCGGUAGCAUAUUUUUUCCUGCUGACGGGCCUAUUAAUUACAGCCGCGCUGGUUGAAUUAAGCUCUUUAUCCCUUAAUAUAAUACUUAGAGAACUCAUUGAAAGAAAAUUUCUGGGAAAAUUCAUGUGCACCACCUAUUUGUGCUUAUUUGAUGAAUACAAAUCAGUCACAUUUGCAUGUUAGGGAUGUAAAUAGAGCCGCUUGGGGCCUGGGUUCCAGUAGGUUUUCCUUCUUCUUCAAAUGUAGCUUUUUAUAGCUAUCUAUAUGUUUCUUGGCACGGAAUUCGAUAGAAUACAGCUGAAAUGAUAGAAAUCGUUUUCAAAUAUGUGCAUUUUGAUCUUUUGUGUGUCUUGAAAAGGUAUGAAAAUCUUACCACACCAGAUUUCUAAAAAAAAAAUAAUUGCUCUUUAUUUAUGGAUCCGCAAAUGGUACCGGUGGGCACCGGUCUCAAUAUUGCUUACCAUUCUCUAGGCUAUAUUUAUACCAAGUUUGGUGCUUUUGUCCGCUGUGUAUAGAUUGAGCUCUUUUUGUGCGCUAAGCCACCCGACUAUGACAUCCCCGGACUAGGGUACCAAUUUCCUUCUCCUUAGCAAAGCUGCAAGUGGACGUGAAAUACACCGAUUUCUGAUAACGCUAUUUUUUUUCUUGGUCAUAAAAUAAAAAUCCUUUUACCAUAAUCUAUUAUUUUUGCCCUUUUUUUUUACUUGUGUCCUUGUAUUAACAAAGUUGACUAAAUGCAAUAAUCAUAAAGACAUUUUUUAUAAUAUUUGUUUCUUUUUUGGUGGCUUUAAUGGUUAUAUUUUAGUAAAAAAAAAGUCAUGUUGUGAAAAAAGGGUGAUAUAUUCAUUUAGAGGCUCUGAUAAAAUGUAGACAGUAAUUAAAAUAAGAACAAGGUCUGCAAAAGGUCAUUAUUCCCUUAUAGUCUUUAAGGUAGUUGAUUUAGUGAAAUUAAUGUUGCCUUUAAAAAGUAGUAUGGAAGAGUUCACAUACGUAGGCAUUUAUUAUAGGCAAAUACCUAAACACAUGAAAAAUGGAAAUAUUUAAAAAAAUGUCCAUUGUAAAAAGUAAAUUAUUAUGAAAACUCAACUCGAGAAAUACGUAAGCGGAAGGAUUGAAGAUGAUUUGUGUGAAUUCUGGAGAAUGUAACUGGAUUAGUGAAAUUAUUUGAUUGGAACGGACACCUGCGCUCUAAAAAGAGACGAGGACAAAACAGCGAAAAUAUGCGGUUAUUGUUUAAGGCUUUACUAUUAUUUGUUUAAUUGUCACUCUUUUGUUGCUCUUUAAAAAAUACACGGCAACAAAAUAAAAUGUGAUAACCAAUUUUAGCUGGCUUAAAAAUGUCGAAGAGUAGAAAUUCAGAAAAGACGACACAUUAAAAUGAGCCACUGACUUUGCCUAAACAACACCGUUAAUGGUCUAUACACCGAUGAUAAAAAUUAUAGAAAUUAUAUUUCCCACAAAGACAGGGUUUUCGGGUUAACUUAGAAUAGAGUUUUAUUGUGACACUUUCCAAAUGAUGAUUUAUCCUCUUACUGUAUUGCUUUUAAACAUACCAUUUCUUGAAGUUAAAUUACAAAAUAUUAAAUGUAGAAAUUGUUCUCAGCAUGGGGCUCUUAAUCUUCACAAACCUAGUGACCGUGAUAACCAAUCUAUCUCAAACAUUACUUUGCUCAAGAUAACUUUUUUUUGCUCUGAAUUUUUAUGCCUCUCCGCGAGCAUAUUAUUCCCUGUUUGCAUCUAGGAGUCUCCAUAAAGUCUCCGAAGAACGUUUCGGAUAAACGGAGGCGCCUUAAAGUUCAGAAUUCCCUAAUCACGUUAUCGUACUCUGAGGGCAAAUUUCAUUCUAGAAUAAAGAAAUGAUCACUUACUUCUUAGAGGUGAGGAAGGAAGGGCUGUCCAGCCGCGCCUUCGUUCGAUUCUUUUGUCUACCUGUGAAUUGAGCACAUUGUCGCAAAAAAGUCGCUUUAUUAGUAUGGAAUGUAAGUUUUCUUCAUAAGUUCCGUUUGCGCAAAUUACGGUAUUCAGCUACAAUAUUGAUCAAUUAAAUGGCAUUACUUUUUAAACCCACGUCUAAUUUUAAUCGUUCAAAUAAAUAAGUUUAAAAAUCUAACAAUUGACGAACGUAAGCGCAUUAUUUCAAGGUGAAAAUGAUUGUUUGCCACAUCGGAUGUAAGGAAUAUCGCAGCCAGCAAUUUAUUUUUGAAAAUUAGUGUCGUUGUCUUUCUACAGUUGUCAAGGGUGUUUUUGCCGUUUAUCAGAUUUUCCCUGUUGCCCUUUUCCAUUCAAAGGGCUUGUAGUUCAAGGAAAAACAGCACAGCAAAUAGACAUAACUGUUCCAUUUUUUUCUUGGAUAUAUUUUUGCCGAGCUCGAUUUAGACAUGUUGAGCAAAGCUAAAUAAAAAUAGUCCUCUUAUUAGAUCUAAGCUCGUAGAAAUGUCAUAUUUACAAUUUUAAAACGGAAACUUUAUGAUAACAAAUCUGUAAAUCCUCCAGAAAAAGAAGUCAGGGCAAUGUUUGUGCGGCACGAGAUAUUGACUACUCCACUAAAACUGUCGACAGCUCAAUUUGUAUUCUUCCAUUUAUUUGUCAACACUUUUUUAAUCCAAUGUUUGUGCUAGAUAGUCCUUUUCUAAUCAUAUUUAAGAAAUUUGUUAAAACAGGCGUGCAAAAUAGACUAAAUUCUGUUAACAAAAUGGACAUGUUCUUUUUCUCAAAACGAGACCUUUCCCAAUAGCAUUCUAAAUUCCAAUCAUUUCUUUAUACAGGUUGAUUAUUUGAUAUUUUAGAAGCGUAAAGCAAAAGACACGAGAUCCUAAUUAUGAUAAAAUGGUCUUUAUUAUUUUGACGUCUCUCUUAUUUUUCUAUUACUGGAAAUUAAGAUUCCGUUCAACAAUUUUAUCUGUAAGUCCGAAUUAAAUGCCGUCGGGAAAAUUCCAAUUCGCGAUAUUCGCCAAAUUUCCCUAGAUCGCGUGUCUAAUGUUAUAGUUAUAAUUCAAGUACAGCAGUGAUUUAGCCAAAACAACGGAUUUCUUCCUAGCUUGAUAUCUUCUGCUAAUGUCAUAUGUUUUCUAAUUUUGAAAAAAAAAGGACAGACUUGUAAGAGUUUUAUUUCGUAUCCAAGAUAUUUCAUAUUUUGUUCUGAUAAGUAAUUUGGGCAUUUUAAGGCCAACAAAUCCAUCUUGUGUAUUAUUCACAAUUUAUAUGAAAUAUUUUCAUUUUUCUAGUAACACAAUUUGUAGUAGAUCACCUUGGAAAAGUCAGCGUUGGUUUAAUUUUAUUUACUUUAUUGCUCCUGGGGCAUGUAAUUCAAAGAAAGAUUACACUGGCAAUGGGAUGAUAUCUAUUGUUGUAGGAGGGUAAACAUUAGGGCAGAUAAGAGCUCCAUCGUAAUUAAAAAUCCCAUGGUGUACACCGUUUGCUGCUUUUACUUCUUGCGGCAUACUUUUACAAGAUCGAGUGAAGAUAAUAAGAAAUGAACGCUGAGUUUGAAACGCUGCCCAAAAUCUAAAUCACCCAGGAAGCAGUCUUAGAAAUACUCUAUUAUUUGCAAUUAAACUUUCAUCAAUUGUAAUUCUCUUAGUUACUGAACAAAUUUAGUGUAGUGUUAAAAACAAAUAAGUGUAAAUUGAACAGUGAGGCAUGAUAAUUGAUCAGAGUCGUAUUAUUGGGUUCAAUAACUGGGGAAUUAUCAUGAAGGAUUCAGGGAAAGGUUCACGGGAAACUAGUGUUCCAUUCUAUUGCGAGAUUCAGCGAGAUAAGAGGAGGCGGUGAUUACGGACACAUUUAUUCUUCUUUAAUUUGAUCUUUUGAUCGGAAAAAAGGAAGUACGAAAGCUAGCGGUCUCAUUAAGGGUCCCGGCCACGGUAUAAAAAGGGUCGUCGAAUCGUUGAGAGCCACACUUGACGAAGAAUCUCUUAAGAACAACAUCUCUCCCAAGCGAAGAGUCAAUACCUUCAACUUCACCAUGAACACCAAGCUCGCUGCCCUUUUAAUAGUCGUCCUCGCCGUUAGCUUUGUCUCACAGACGGAGGCCUUCACAGCCGGCGCUGGUAACAUCGGCAAACGAGAGUACAACAAGUUGGGAGAGAGACUUCAGAGCAUGUGCCGAGUAGCGCAAUUCGCCUGCCAACAGCCCAUCAAGCGACUCGUCGAAAAAGCCGCCGACGAUCAAUAGACGCUUCGGAUCCAGAAAUCGCCUUGAUAUUUGACUGGACUAUGUAUAGUAAUACAAUUAUUAACUGAACGACUCUCCCACCAUUGCCUCGACAAUCUGGCAUCUUUAUAGCAUAAAAAUGUGUGAAUAAACUAUCAUCCGUAA